GUUUUUCUUUCAAUUACACAAACAAAAAAUAUUUAUUUCCAAUUCGAUAAUUUAUUUUGUUACAAGUAUAAGCAGAAUCUAGACUCUUUUCACUUUCAACCAAAAGGGAAAAGGAAUACUCUUUUAGCCAGUUCUGCCGCGAGUCUUGCUAGCAAGUUUGGCAUAGUACUCUUCAAGCCAAAAUGCAAUGAUUUUGAUCUCUUUGUCUCUCUGGUCGACCAGCCAGGCAGGGUCACUUCUUGUAGGACUUAAUAGAUCCAAGAAGUGAGCACCUCUAUCUGUAUGUAUAGCAACAACACUAUCUGAUAUGUUCUCUAAAAUUCCUCCUGCGCUCCACGGAUCACGGAAUCCAUUGGAGAAAAUGAUAUUGCUCGCAAAAUUUUCAAGUGCAGAUUUUAUAUCACGGCCACCAAAUUGUACAGGGACCCAACUAGGCCUUGGGGUGACACCGAAAACUUCUUGGCAGAUUUUUGUGAAGUUAUUGAGAUCAAAGGGUGAUAACUCGAACAUUGUGUUAUUGUUAUCAACCCCCAUUGGUAUUACCAUCUCGGUGCAUUUCUGCCAUGACCAUGCACUCUGUCUGAAUAUAACUGGAGGUUCAUAUACAUAAAGGCACGAAACUUCUCCAACAAUAGUACUGGCAUUGAGACCAGCAGCAAGUCUUCCAAGAGUAUCAGUCCCUUGAGGUGCUCCAUCAAUGGCCUUACACAAAUUCUCUACAUAAUAAUCUGGAGGAUUGUCAAAUUGUGCUGACUCCUUAUAAAUUAGCGCUAGGUAGUCCUUCAGCUCUUGUGAUGAGUUUAAAGGCAUGCAAGAAUUGAAGAUGUUGCCAAGGGUUAGAAGACCAUUAGUUUCAGCUCCAACUCUAUCAAUUUCGGACCAGGACUUUUUAAUGGUGUUGUAGCAACUUUCACUGGUAUUUCUGAAAUUCCUAGAUACAACAGCAUGGUAUCCAUCCUGUGGUGUGAUAUCCUCAAAGUACAGUAUUGGAGCAGAUGAUGCCAAAGCACCAAUUAUAAUAUGAGGGUAUUUCAGACGAAACCAAGAUGCGAGCAUUCCACCAUAAGAUCCUCCAACCGCAAUAGCUGGACAAUUUUCUGCCGACAGGUUCUUCUUAACAUGUACUAUCACCUGUGCAUAAUCUGCUAAGGCUUGUUCUGAGCUCAAGUAUCCAAGGGUGCUGGAAUUUUGAAAUGUUUGAUUUUCAGAUCCAAAAGGCAUUGAUUUUCCAUAGUAACGAUGCUCUAUAUACAAUAGCAAACCUUUAAAACGAGCAGCAAGAUCAAGAAUGAAACCCUCAACAUCAUAUGUUAUAUCGCCCUCUUCACCUGUAUAAACAAAGAUAGGUGAACUAGUAUUUGCCCCACCCCAGUACUUGUAAUUCAAAAUAUAUCUGUGCUGAAAUGUAGCAUAACUCUCUGGUUUAUAGUUGAAAUGAUCGAGUGUCUGUCUGUAGUAAUGUAUUUCAUAUUCUGGUGGAAGAUCGCUAAAGGACCUGCUGGCGGCUAAUCUUUUUAACCCACCUAAUCCAGCAAAUAUCCUAGGAUUUACUGCAGAUGCACAUACUGCUGCAAGCAGCAGCAACGCAAGCCAUAAUUGAAAUGAAGGUAGUGCCAUUUUAAGCUAUGAACCUUCU
rnacentral:misc_RNA from 1 species